GUUAAAAAGCUCGUAGUCGGAUGUCGGGCUCGGGCAGGCUGUCGGCUUCGGUCGGACGGCAGGCUCGGGUCUUUCUGCCUGAGGAUCCAUCUCAUUCACCUGGGGUGGGGACGCAGGCCGUUUACUUUGAAAAAAUUAGAGUGUUCAAAGCAGGCCUACGCUUGAAUACAUUAGCAUGGAAUAAUGGAAUAGGACUUUGGUGCUAUUUUGUUGGUUUAUGGGACCGAAGUAAUGAUUAACAGGGACAGUUGGGGCCGUUUAUAUUUCGUUGUCAGAGGUGAAAUUCUUGGAUUUACGAAAGAUAAACUUCUGCGAAAGCAUUCGGCAAGGAUGUUUUCAUUGAUCAAGAACGAAAGUU
rnacentral:rRNA from 1 species